AUGCAGAUCAAAUCAUGUCUUAUAAUAAGAAGAAAUCUUUCUCGGUAUCAAUCCCCUUGCCCCUCAUUCUUUGAGAAUCAGAAGGAUCCUUUUCGAGUUUCCAUUUCUUCAUUUGGAAUCUGGGCUCUUCUAUCUUGGACUUAUUUUUUUGGCUUUAUUCUUUAUUUAUUUCAUUUCGAUUUGCUAAACUUAUAG
rnacentral:rRNA from 1 species